ensembl:misc_RNA Metazoa_SRP Metazoan signal recognition particle RNA
GCCGGGCAUGGUGGUUCAUGCCUGUAAUCCCAGCACUUUGGGAGGCUGAGGUGGGUGGAUCACCUGAGGUCAGGAGUUUGAGACCAGCCUGGCCAACAUGGUGAAACCCCAUCUCUA